AGCUACAUAUUAAAGAGAUUUAUUUAUAUAAAUAGGCUUGCUAGCUGAUUGUAUAUAUAUGCUGGCCGUAUUUCAUAGCAAGCUCGCUUUUAAUAGGCAACCAGUAAUAUGAGCAAUUCUUUACCUACAAGCCUAUAAUUAUAUUAACUCUAAGAGAAAUCUAAUAAUAAACGGAGUGAAUUGAAAUAUCUUAUUAACUUCAGGAAAAGAAAUCAAAAGAGAUUCUAUGAUUAGCGUGAGCUAAAAUAGAGUAGCCUAGAAAGUCAAAUGGUGGAUAAACUGUUUAAAUUUAAUGGGGAACCUUCCUCAAAGGCUAAAUAUAAUAUGUAAGCGAUAGUGGAAAGUACCGUGAGGGAACCAAAACAAAAACAGUGAUUUUAUAAGCAGUUCGGAAAAAUAAAAAAGUUAGAACGUACCUUUUGCAUAAUGGGUCACCAAGUUAACAUUAGAUGCGAGAUUCUACGUAGUUAAACCGAGCGUUAAAAUAACGGUAAGUGUCUAAAGUUAGACCCGAAGCCUGGUGAUUUUACCAUAAUCAGGAUUAUAAAAGUCCGAACGGAAUAUUGUAGCAUAAAUAUCCGAAGAAUUAUGGUAGGUGUAGUGAAAGACAAUACUGACCAGGAUAGCUGGUUUUCUGCGAAACCUAUAACAGUAGGCAAUUUAAGUAUAAUAUCUUAGCAGGUACAGAAUUUAAUCUCAGACAAGACAUAAGGCUUAACUUGUUAACAAGUUAAGCCCAUGUUUUAUUUUGUACAAAUUGGGGGAUCAUGAAGAUUUUAUCAGUGAGUAUGUAGACUCGGAAUGGCAAAGAUAUAUCUUAAAUCAUCAGACAUAGAAUGAUAAGGUUGUAUGUCAAAAGGGAAACAGCCCAGAACAAGAGUUAAGGUUCCUAAAUUAUUAGUUGAGUGAAAUUAAGAAGGUUUUUAUUAAAGUCGACAAGGAGAUAGGCUUAGAAGCAGCCAUAAUUUUAUGACCUCGUAACAGAGCGCUUGUUAAGUUUUAAAAGCAUCGAAAAUUUAUCGGAUCUAAACAAUAUACCGAAACCUUGUCCAUAUUAUUUUAUAAUUAAUAGUCUCAGCAAGCUCGGACUAUACAAUUAUAAUUAAAUGGGGUAGCAGAACGUUGAGCUAAAUUAAGAUUUUUAUUUUUUAAAUGAAAUUAUAAUAAUUUAACUCAAGUGAUAAUGGUGACAUGAGUAACUAAAAGAAAAUUUUCCGCCUAAAGCUUAUGGAUGUAAUUAAGUAACGGCCUCUAAGUUUAUGGAAUCAAAAGAUUAAAACGAUGAGACAAUCUUUCAUACUAAGGACGACAUUUUAAGUGCAAAAUGUACUGGAAAAAUAGUAAUAAGUUUAAGCUAUGGCUAGAACUAGCUAUAGCUGUAAAUGGAAAGUAACCGUACCUAGAAUCUGAAACAAGUAAGCUAGUAGAGAAUACGAAGGCGUAAAUGAGCUAACAAUCAUAAAGGAACUCGGCAAAUUGACUACCGUAACUUCGGGAUAAGGAGAGCUCAUUAUUCUUGAUUAAUAUCAGGUAAAGAGGAAGAAGCAUGAAAUAGUGUUGUACGACUGUUUAAUUAAAACACAGCACUUUGCUGAAAGAUUAAAAAUCUAAGUAUAGAGUGUGAUGUCUGCCCGGUGCCGGCUGGUUAACAGAUAUAAUUAAAUAUACUAAUAUUUGAUGUAGACGGAAACCCCGGUUAAAGGCGGCCUUAACGUGAGGGUCCUAAGGUAGCGAAAUGCCUUGGCCGUUAAAUGCGGUCUUGCAUGAAUGAUGUAACGAUACAACAGCUGUCUCUAUGAUUGACUCAGUGAAAUUGGAAUAGCUGUGCAGAUACAGUUUACCUCUAGUUAGACGAGAAGACCCUAUGCAGCUUUACUGUCACUAAUUAUAGAGUAUGAUAAACAAUUUUCAGUUUAUAAGGUAAUUGACGGCCGGCUUGCUUAGCAAGCUGGCUCUAUGACAAUGAGAAUCCUUUAUUUUUUUUUCAUAUGAAUGAAUUGGUUUAGGACGAGCUUAAGCUCGUAGUAAAUCAACCUAAUUCAGCUUAUUUUCCUUUCUGCUGUAAGCGCAUAAUGAUAGAUUAUACUUAAAUUUGGAUUUAUGCCUGCAGAAAUAGAUAAGUACCCUUGGUUAAGGAACUAUCGCUAGGGGACAGUUUAUGUGGGGCACAGACCCUGUAAAGAGUAAACAGGAGUGUCUAAUAAUUUAUAAUUAUUUUGUUUGCGAUUUAAGGUAGUAGAACUAUUUUUAAUCAUAUAAAAUUAUUUAUAUGUACAUUCGUUGUAUAUAUAUUUAAAAAAAGGUAGGAUUUUCACUAUAUAGAAAUUAGAGAUAAUAAAAAUAUUAAGUAGUAGCUGCUGAGUCCUAAUCCCGCCGAAGGGGGGGAUAUGGACUACUAUGUAUUUCAUAGCAAGCUCGCACUAAUAUUUUUUAACUAUUAAGACUGGCUAUCUAGCUAUGCUCUAAUAGUUAUGUUUUAAUUAUCUAAAAAGCUCAACGGCUAAAUCUUGCCUUACUGUUUGAUUAUCAACAAAUCUUACAGUUGCGUAAGCAGGGCAUAGGAUCACAAGAUGCAACAAGGAAAGAUCUUGGAUUAUUGGAAAAGCUACGCUAGGGAUGUUUGUCCUUUAAUAUUUUAUUUCACUGUGGUAUGGGUCAUAGUCCUACGGACUCAGCUUUUUUUAAAAAAAAAAUACGAGCUUGCUAUGAAGAGCGGACUUCGUUCUAGCGAAGCUAGCCCCCUAUUCCCUAUUCCCUGACCCCCUACGGGGGUAGGGAAUUAGAGAAUCAGGAAUCAGCCAGCAUAUUUUUUCGGAGAAAAAAUCCUGAUCCCGUAGGGAUAUCGCUGAGACUUCGUCUACCCGUGCUAUAUUGAGAAGUAAAAAUAAUUAAUAAUAUAUUGGGUUAAUUUCAAAAAUUACUUACGCGUUGCUUUACGAGACUCCGUCUAUAAAGCUCGCUAUGUAAAUUUGAAGCGAAAUUUAUCUUAGCAUAAAUUAUAAGAUAAAGACGUUCAACGACUAUAAGGUGAGUUCUUUUAUGAUAACACAUAGAACAGGCUAAUUUGCGCAAGAGUGUACAAAAUGAGUGCGCGGUUUGGCACCUCGAUGUCGGCUUAACUUAUCCUCAUGGAUGCAGGAACUAUGUAGGGUGCGACUGUUCGUCGAUUAAAAAGUUACAUGAGCUGGGUUAAAUACGUCGUGAGACAGUAUGGUUUCUAUCUUCUAGGGGGAAUUAGAAUAUAAUAAGAACUAACUUUUGUACGAAAGGAACAAGAAGAAUUUAAUUUGUAAAAGGGUUAAAUAAUAGUUACUAACCUAUGGUUUACCUGUUGUCUAUGUGCCCAAAUAUUAAAAUAUAGGAUAAAAAUUCUAUAUAUCUGUAUAGCUUUAGCUAUACAUAGGGAUGUUUCUUUCACUAAGAUAAAUAUAUAGCAUAGGCACGGCAGGAAAGCUAAGUUGGUUAAGGAUAAGUGCUGAAAGCAUAUAGGCACGAAGCUUAUCUUAAGAUAUUUCUUAAAUAUACGUAAAAUAUUAUUACGAAGGAUUAAUAUAGGCUUUAUCCGUACGAAUCUGGAGAUUUUUAAGAAUAAAGUACUAAUUUUAUAAAUAACUAUUUAU
rnacentral:rRNA from 1 species